AAAACAAAUAUAAAUGAUAAUGUAUUUUAAAUGACACAAUUUUUAUUAAUAUAAGCACCAUCUAGAGAUCACAUCUAUAAAAGUAUAUUUUACAAAUUUUGCUUACUGUAAAAGCAUUUGUCUAGCGACAUAAGUACUUCUAGAUUUAGACAAUACACAGAAAAAAGAUAAAUAAACCAAAGCCAACAUAAAUAUGGUGUCAAAGGAGGAGAAAGUGUGAUAUAGAGAGGAGUAUACACAUACCAUGCAAAAUCUAAAAGCCAAUAUGAAAAGCACCAAAAAUAAAACAAUAAAUAUAUAAAGAUAAAUAUAUCUUUGUAGCAGACGGGAUUAUACAAUAUAAUAACAAUUAUUGGAUCAACAAUAGGAAUCCAAGCAUCCAAAUACGCGACCACUAUAUCCGCAGUGUUUUAAAACUAAGGAUGAAUUUUAGUAUUAAAUUGUUAAGGUAUGAUCGGCAUUGAAAUAUUUUUUUUUAUUAAAGACGGUUAUAUUGUUGAAAAUGGAUACGUUAAUAACAACUUCCACUGUUAUGUGGAAUUUUCAAUAAAGAUGUAUAAAAUAUUGAUAAAUUAUAAUUUUUUUUUCAAAUCAUAUACUUUUUUUUAGUUUGUUAGUACUACAGAAUCAAAUAUAUUUAUUUGUUCUUUAAAACACAGUAAUUUUUAUUAUUUAGAUGGCGACUAAAAACUUUCAAUGGAUCAUCAGAAUUUUGAAUUAUAAUUGAAUUUAAAAUCUACCACAAUCUUCUUCUUUUCAUUCAACUAUUUUCAUAAUCUUCAUUACAUCUCCCCCAGACUUCUCCAUUUUACUUACUUUUCUUUUUCUCUUUUACUUUUUCAUUUUGUAAACAUUUCUUCUGUAGAUAAAAUGCUAACUAACAGAAUAUUGCUGGGAUGAACUGACGAGAUUCACAAUUAUAGUUGAAUUUAGUUAAAUCAAUAAACCAAUAGAAAUUCACAAUAUACAUCAUUGCAAAGACAUGCUCGCCGAAAACAAAGCGAAAUAAGUACAUAGAGAGAGAAGAAAAUGUAUAGAAAAUUCCUUGUUGGUCAUCACUGUAAUUAUCCAAGCAAGGAAAGUAUCGGUUAUUUUGUUAAUGGAUGAAAUAAAUAAAUAAAUACUUAAGAACUGAUUAAGUCUACAUUAGAGAUUAUAUUAACAAGGUUAGAAAAAUGAAUGAAAUAUGUUCUGAUAUUUACUAUAAUGCAUAAAUAAAUUGAUAAUACUUCUAUAUAUCAAAGAGUAAAUAAAUGCUUAACUUAUCGUGCUAGGCUGAUAGGUUAUAUAAAGUCUGUUAAUCACAUGCUUAGAAUAUAAAUAAAUAAAUUUGAAAAUUAUAAAGAUGUAAUGUUAUGUGAGAUUUUGACUCAUCUUAUCUUAUCUUAUAUAAUACAGACGUUACUUGAAAAGAGUACAGGAUUAUGAUUAUGAUUAUAAUGUUUUUCAUAACCUGUAGUAUAUUAAAAUGAAGUAGAUUUAAUAUUUUGACUAUGCAAGAAAUAGGUCUAUAGUUUUGAAACUUUAGUGUUGCCUUAUACACAAUCAAGACAAUCAAUACUUUCGUUCUUACUCUAAAGUAAAUUCAAUUAUUGUUUUAUCCCAACAUGGAUGUAGGACCUGAAUCGAGGUUAUAGGUGCACGCACGAUCGUAUUAUCGAGAGUUGCUUACUCUUUAUCAACUCAGGUGACCUCCCCUGUGGUCUUCGCUCAUUUGGACAGACAGUUAAAAUGUUUAUAUUUUGCAUAAAACCAUAAAAUGUUUAUAUUUUGCAUAAAACCAUAAAAUGUUUAUAUUUUGCAUAAAACCAUAAAACCGAGAUAAAUUUGCUAUAUAUUGAUUACAUGACAUGAACGGGUGUCACAUAUGAACAGUAUCCACGCCACAGAAAAAAGGUCCCAGAUACUAUGGGAGGGACAAGUCCGCAUGUCUGAAAAGCGCCUUUGCAAACGACUUUUUAUGCGGGGGAGCUGUGUGCUGGAGCGCUCUCUCAGGAGGCGUCAACCCAAGCGAUAUAAAGGCACCCCCAAGAGCUCUUGAUCGCUCCUCCUGACGUGAAGCCAUGAGUGUCGGAGUUUUCCAGACAUGAGGCAAGGAGAUCAGCCAACACCAAAGAAAGCAGAUUACAAAAAAAAAAGGUGAGA
rnacentral:sRNA from 1 species